UUUAAUUUUAAGUAACUUUUCCCUGUGGAUUCGAUCCUGUAAGAUACUACAACGCCUGUAUACUUGCAGGUAAAACUGCACUAGAUUUUUGAUUCAUUAAUUUGAGUCAAAGUUUAGUCGCAACAAUGACCUUAGUUUUUCAACAUUAUCAACUGUGGACAUUAUUUAUAACUUAUCUUAGAAAUGUCAGUUCAUUGUAACUUGAAAAUUUAUGUUGUUCAUCUAUUUACCCUUUUUUGCUAUAUCAUGUCAUUGUCUUUUGAAAAUAAUGUCGUUUUGUUAGUUACCCUAUCUACUAUAUCAUGUCAAUGCAUAUUGAAUUUGGUCCUAGCCAUUACAAACAUAUCUACUUGGUUACAAUAAUCAUUAUUCUCAUUUGAGCAUAUAUUAGCACCAUAUGGAUGAUCUGAUCAGGUCGAUUCGUGAUUGGGACUUGUGGAAUGAUGGGUUGGAGGAUGUCCUUAUUGACAUGUUGUACUAUGGCACUCUAAUAGAUAGACUGAGGGGAGGAAAGAUCACAAAUGGAGACCAUGUAAGGCUUGCUGAACAACUGUAAACGAUUGGGCCCAAGAAAUUCAAUUCUAAUCAAGUUAAAGGCAGAAUUGCUCGUCUCAAGAGAAGACAAUGGGAAUUUACGGAUCUUAUGAAGCAAACUAGUUCGGGGUGCGGGACCCAGAGAGGAAGGCCCCAGUUGCCAGUGAGGACCACUGGGCGAAUGCACUAAGGGUAAAACCAUCAUGGACGCAGUUCAAGAUUGGGGGGAUGCCCAAGGUAUGAACAGUUUUGUGUAAUAUUUGGUUGUUCAGUUGCGAAUGGGACAACGCAUUGGGCAUCGAUUGCUCUUGUAACGCUCUGUACUCGAGUAGGUCAGAGAAUUACUACCUAUCAUCUAUAGUCUUAUCUCCCAAUACAAAUAAAAUCUUCAAAUAUUUCCAAACAAACAUAAAUUCAUCUUUUUCAACUUAAAACAUAAAUUCCUCCACAAGGUCAGCAAGCAAUAAUCAAAUAACAUAAAUCCAUGUUUCUAAAAUCUUCCAAUAACUGUAAAAUAAACUGAUAAUUUAAAAUCUUCCCAUUGACUUUGAGAGGACCAGCAAGGACAUAGUUUAGCUCCCUAGCGCUAGGCUCCAUAGAAAACUUCUAGGAGUUGGCCACCUAUUCCUCACCCACUUCAUGGCCAGUAGAAGAAGGAAGCGCCCUACAACAUUCCUCCUAACUAUCAAUCAAAGGGAAUAUGAGAGUCUAAAGGUCUACCUGGUCCAAUUCAAUAAAGAACGAAUGACCACGAAGGACCAGGAUGAAAAGAUCACCCCAGUAGCACUUUUAGGGGGAGUAUGGCCUCGCUCCACAUUCAUGGUGGAAUUGGCCAAGAAGACUCCCACAACCCUUCGAGAGUUCAUGGACCAGACCGACAACUUCAUCAACGCCAAGCUAGGAAGACUCCCACAAACCCUUCGAGAGUUCAUGGACCAAGACAACCUCCUUGCCCUGGCCGAACCAAGGCGACAAGAGCUAGAGUGAGCGGACAGGAAGGGGAAAGCCCCAACAAAAGGCCAUGUUUGAAAGACAGCAUAGCCAAAACAGCGGGAAGCAAGAAAGGAAGAGCCUACCACGAGAACUGUAUCUUAUCGGCAUGACCGGUCAACAUUCACCGUCCAAAGAGAGGAGAGGCAACCGACCCAGGAGGAGUGUCACUACUACACCUACCAUCAAUCGACCACCCACAACACCGAGGAAUGUCAUUCGCACUUGGGGGGAUUGAGCAGUACCCAGGCACUCCGAACCGAAAAUGAGAGCGGCCUUGGAGGGGAUGCUCCUGAUAGAGGAGCUCGAGCAAGGGGUAUUGACAAAGGAGAAUGGAGAGCCUGAGAAGAAGGGAAGCGACACGAGAGCCACCUUGUGCCCCUCUGCAACAAUAACACCAAGAGGUACCUCCAAAGGGAGAAAUCGGUACUAUCGCAUGGGGCUUCGCUAGUGGAGGGGCAACUUCAUCCUGGAGCAAAGCCCUUGCAAGGGAAGCCCGAUACUGGGAAGUCUACUCGGCCUCCAACUCCCCGCUAAGUACCAAAGGGGCAAACCUGCCCCCGUAAUUUCCUUCAGAGAAGCUAAUGAGGAGGGAGUCCUCUAUCCACAUGACGAUGCGUUGGAGGUAACCAUGCAGACCGCCAGCUUCACCACUAGAAGGAUUCUCAUCGACAAUGGUAGCUCGGAAGAUAUUUUAUUUUCGAAAGCAUUCCCCCUUAUGGGAAUAGACGCAGCCUGGCUCUUACCGACCCCAAUGCUGCUCAAAGGCUUCUGAGGGGAGAUAGUCCAACCAGCUGGGACAAUCACCUUGUCGGUCUUAAAAGGCUGCACUACUUGUAUUGCCUCUCUCAUGGUCGACUUCUUGGUGGUAAGAACCCCUUCCUCGUAUAACGCCAUCAUCAGUUAGCCGACCCUCAACAAGCUGAAGGCAAUCACCUCCUCCUACCACUUAAAGGUAAAGUUCCCGAUGGCCCAAGGGAUAGGUGAAAUCCAAGGAGAACAAGUCUCAGCAUGGGAAUGUUUUAUGCAGGAGCUGAAGCCAACAACCAAGGGAACAACAAGCAGUGUGAAUAUUUACCUCUUAUAAAGCCGCGACAAGCUCUUGUUAGGAUGCGAACUGUCUAGGCUGAAGGGGGGAGAGGGGCGCAUAUAAGGAAAAUGAAAAGCUACCUGAGUCCUCCUGUAAUUUUGUAAAUUUAAUUCCCUGCUGUAUGAACUCUAUUUAAUGAAAAACACUAGUCUUUUUCAGA